GACGGAAGGUGCAAGCGUUGCUCGGAAUCACUGGGCGUAAAGGGUGCGUAGGCGGUCGGGUAAGUCGGAUGUGAAAUCUCAGGGCUCAACCCUGAAACUGCAUUCGAUACUGCCUGGCUAGGGUACUGGAGAGGAGACUGGAAUUUACGGUGUAGCAGUGAAAUGCGUAGAUAUCGUAAGGAAGACCAGUGGCGAAGGCGAGUCUCUGGACAGUUACCGACGCUGAGGCACGAAGGCCAGGGGAGCAAACGGG
rnacentral:rRNA from 1 species